rnacentral:rRNA from 1 species
GACGAACGCUGGCGGCGUGCUUAACACAUGCAAGUCGAACGGAAAGGCCCUGCUUUUGUGGGGUGCUCGAGUGGCGAACGGGUGAGUAACACGUGAGUAACCUGCCCUUGACUUUGGGAUAACUUCAGGAAACUGGGGCUAAUACCGGAUAGGAGCUCCUGCUGCAUGGUGGGGGUUGGAAAGUUUCGGCGGUUGGGGAUGGACUCGCGGCUUAUCAGCUUGUUGGUGGGGUAGUGGCUUACCAAGGCUUUGACGGGUAGCCGGCCUGGGAGGGUGACCGGCCACAUGGGGACUGAGAGACGGCCCAGACUCCUACGGGAGGCAGCAGUGGAGAAUAUUGCACAAUGGGCGGAAGCCAGAGGCAGCAACGCCGCGUGCGGGAUGACGGCCUUCGGGUUGUAAACCGCUUUCGCCGGUGACGAAGCGUGAGUGACGGUAAUGGGUAAAGAAGCACCGGCUAACUACGUG